CUUGUGUGCAAAACGGUCCGUUACACAAAUUAUCUCCAAGGACAGAGGCAAAACUCCAUUAACCACAUGGCAGACAAAGGACAAUAAAAGACAUAAAAUUACAUACAGUUACAUUCAGUACAUAAAACAUAUACGUUCUACAUAUCCCCAGAUAGCUCAGGUCUGAGCGCACAUUAUUAAGCGAAUGGCGCUCAGACCACACGAAUACAGUUUAAACGCCAUGGAGCCAAAGUCUUUACACAGUCAGUUUCAUGCGAAUGGG